UACGGAGGGUGCAAGCGUUAUCCGGAUUCACUGGGUUUAAAGGGUGCGUAGGUGGUUUUGUAAGUCAGUGGUGAAAGCCCCGGAGCUCAACUCCGGAACUGCCAUUGAUACUGCGGAGCUUGAGUACAGAUGAGGUAGGCGGAAUUGACGGUGUAGCGGUGAAAUGCGCAGAUAUCAGGAGGAACACCGAUGGCGAAGGCAGGUCUCUGGGCCACUACUGACGCUGAGGCGCGAAAGCUAGGGGAGCAAACGGG
rnacentral:rRNA from 1 species